UACACAUGCAGUCGAGCGGGGGAGAUUGCUUCGGUAAUUGACCUAGCGGCGGACGGGUGAGUAAUACUUAGGAAUCUGCCUAUUAAUGGGGGACAACAUCUCGAAAGGGAUGCUAAUACCGCAUACGCCCUACGGGGGAAAGCAGGGGAUCACUUGUGACCUUGCGUUAAUAGAUGAGCCUAAGUCGGAUUAGCUAGUUGGUGGGGUAAAGGCCUACCAAGGCGACGAUCUGUAGCGGGUCUGAGAGGAUGAUCCGCCACACUGGGACUGAGACACGGCCCAGACUCCUACGGGAGGCAGCAGUGGGGAAUAUUGGACAAUGGGGGGAACCCUGAUCCAGCCAUGCCGCGUGUGUGAAGAAGGCCUUAUGGUUGUAAAGCACUUUAAGCGAGGAGGAGGCUCCUGUAGUUAAUACCUACAGUGAGUGGACGUUACUCGCAGAAUAAGCACCGGCUAACUCUGUGCCAGCAGCCGCGGUAAUACAGAGGGUGCGAGCGUUAAUCGGAUUUACUGGGCGUAAAGCGUGCGUAGGCGGCUUUUUAAGUCGGAUGUGAAAUCCCCGAGCUUAACUUGGGAAUUGCAUUCGAUACUGGGAAGCUAGAGUAUGGGAGAGGAUGGUAGAAUUCCAGGUGUAGCGGUGAAAUGCGUAGAGAUCUGGAGGAAUACCGAUGGCGAAGCAGCCAUCUGGGCCUAAUACUGACGCUGAGUACGAAAGCAUGGGGAGCAAACAGGAUUAGAUACCCUGGUAGU
rnacentral:rRNA from 1 species